rnacentral:lncRNA from 1 species
AAACUUAAUUGACAAGAGCACAAACACACGGCAUUUUUUAUUAGUGGGGGACCACACUCUUUCUUUUUGCCCAAGAAUUCAUCCAUUUUAGAGAGGCACAUAGAUAAAGAAUGGAGAGCGGAACAAUACAAGGGCUAGAAAUUAGGGAAAGAUCUGGAAUUUUUAGGGUGGAGACGACACAAAGUAUCGGCUUCUGGAGGAGACAAUACCCAUUUUAGGAUUUGGCUCUCUGUUAUUGCUCUCACAGAAAAUCAAUCCAAAAUACCAUCUAUACAAUACCAAGCACCACCAGUCGAACCAUCGUAGAUCUGUCCCCAAAACUGCCAUUGGUCCUCCAUAACAAGCCAUUUUCAUGGCGCCAUUAAUUAUUGAGUAACGUUGAGUAUCGUUCCAGUGCUCCGGUCGGCGCUUUUCUGUUCAAGGUCAGGUCAGAGGCGUGAAUUGAUUUUUAAUUUAGUGCAAGUUUGCUGUCAACCUUUUGCUUUUCGGUGUCGUACUUAGAGGCAUUCAUAAAUCAAAUUCUGAAAGAAAUUUUGGUUUUAACAAAGAUACGAGGCUUUCGAAGGUCAAUUCACGAGGCAAAAGCAUAGCGGAGUAAAUAAUUACACGGUUCAAAGUAAGUGACUUGUCUAACCUUGUGUUGGAGAAAUUCCCAUAGGAUUGGUAUUGUCAUGAAAAUUGUGAUGUGUUGAAAGUCGUGUAUGCGAGGUGACGAGUGUGUACACGGGUUAACUGUGGAAAAACUUUAGUUUUAAGUUGUGUAGAUCUCUGUUAUAUAUUAAUUAAAUUAUUUUAUCCGGUAAUAUUCAACAUCAUUGGUCUAUUUAUAUAUUUUGAAAUUUGUCUUACCUUUUUUCUGCUAAUUGCUUUACCUGUUUAGUUGAAACUUUGUUUCUUUUAUUUUGUGCUCAUUAUUUGAAAGUUGAAUUUCUUAAUUGAAUUAUUAUUAAUAUGAAGUAUUUGACAUUGAAAUUUGGUAUUUGAGGUAAAGUGUUUUAUUGUGAAAUAUUGCUUUGUUAAGUUAUUCACUCCCGGAUAUUUUAUUGAGAUUUGUAUUCAUUGUGAUUGAGCUGUGAGCUCCUUAUUGUGGAAAUUAAUAUUGUUGUUGAUUUAUUUUGGCAAGUUGAGAUAUUUGGGCACUUGAGGUGCAAAUUGUGAUAUUGAUACGCAUACGGUGGUAUAAGGUCUGGGUGUUGAAACGCAUGCGGUGAGAUAAGGGUGGCUUGAUACGCGUGGCUAGUAGGGAAACUACUAGAAGUCAUGCGGUGUGAUAAGGGUGGCUAAAACGUGGGAUGCCAUUUCGGGAUUAAUGAUUUCUUUAAAAUUAAAUGUGAAGGCUCCCGCAGUGAUAUAAGAAAAUGAGAUAUUGUGAAUUUAUUUAUGAUUUGGGACUACGAGGCGGUACCUCAGGAGUGCCCUUGUUGAUAUUUCUUUAUGGCUGCAUUUGCCUUUGGUUAUUUUUGUAUUUUUCUUAAAGUUGUAAAUUUUUGUUUUCCUUCUAUGACGUAUUAUUUGCCUUUAUUCUGUGUAUUUAAAUUGUGACAUACUACUUACUUGAUUCAUUCCUAUUAUCAUUUUUAUUAUUAUAUUGUUAAACUUUUUACCCUGUCUUUUAUUAUUUUUAGUAGGGCCUGACCUAACCUCGUCACUACUCUACCGAGGUUAGGCUUUACACUUACUGGGUACCGCUGUGGUGUACUCAUACUACGCUUCUGCACAUCUUUUUUUGCAGAUCAAGGUACUUCCUAUCAGACUAGGCAUCAGUGAACUAGCCAUACACGGAGACUUCAAGGUAUAUCUGCUAGCGUCCGCAGACCUCAAAAUCCCCUUCUAUCCUUAUUAUGUUGUUUCCCUUUUUCUCUUUAGACUCAGAUGUAUAGAGACACUUAGAAUAAAUUUUUAGAAGCUUGUGACUUAUUUCUAUCGGGUAUUGGGAGUUAUAAUUAUUUGAAUUGCAGUUUCAAUUAUUUUAGAUUUCUAUUAUGUUAUUCCGCAUUGAUAGGCUUACCUAGUCUUAGAGACUAGGUGCAAUCGCGAUAUCCUACAGGGGGAAUUUAGGGUCGUGACAAGUUGAUAUCAGAGCUCUAGGUUCAUAGGUGUUAUGAGUCAUAAGCAGGUUUAGUAGAGUCUCGCGAAUCGGUACGGAGACGUUUGUACUUAUCUUCGGGAGGCUAUGAAACUGUUAGGAAAAUGUUCAUUUCUUUGAUUCCAUAUCGUGCGCAUUUGUUGACUUCGAAAUUCUAAACUCUAGUCUUUUUAUUCUCUCACAUAUGGUGAGGACACGUACAACUGGAUCCGAUGAUCAGACAUCCACACCCCCUGUUGGAGCCGCAAGAGGCCGGAGCCGGGGCAUAGGCCGAGGAAGACCCCGCGGUGCAGCCAGAGCACCUGCACGAGCUGCUGCAGCAGAGCCACCAGUAGCUCCAGUUGGAGAGCAUGAACCUGAGACGCCUGUUACUACCCCUGCACUUUAAAACCUCUGGGGCAUGGUAAACCUGGGCCUGUGGCUCUGGGGUACGGGCGGCGGAAGUCUGUGCUCCUCCCCCGGCCUGAGAUGUGGCAGGAGAGUUGAGAAGUUUGACCGAGAGUUAAUUUUGUGGUUACUAGGUUUGGAUUUUCAUUUCGGAAUUUUGAAUAGGUAUGUCGUAUCAUUUAAGACUUGUGUGCAAAUUGUGAGGUCAAUCAGAUAUGAUUUGAUAGGUUUUGGCAUCGAAUGUAGAAGUUGAAAGUUCAUUAGUUUCAAUAGGCUUGAAUUGGGGUGCGAUUCGUAUUUUUGAUAUUGUUUGAUGUGAUUUGAGGCCUCGACUCACUCGUAUCAUGUUUUAGAACUUGUUGGUAUAUUUGGUUGAGGUCCCAGGGGCCUCAGGUGAGUUUCAGGUUGAUUGCGGAUUGAAUUUGGCCUUGUAGAGUUGCAGAUUUUCUGGUGUCUAAUGUUCUUAUAUGCAUUCGCGAGAGAGGUCUCGCAUUC